CAUCUAGAUAAAGGUAAGAACCAUAAAAGCAAGAGUGUUUGGGUGAUAAUAUAAAUGUCAACUUCCAUUGAUAGAGGGAAAAAGAGAAAAAUGGUUAAGACUGGUGUUAUUGCUCCAGGAUAAGGAGGUGUUGAAGUAGAAAUAUUUGCUUAGAAGAUACAAGAAAAACUUAUAGAUCAAGAAAAAGCUGCAUCAUAAGUGGAUGUUGAGGAACCUUUCUUCUGCUACCCAGACAGUGCUGUCCCUUGCUACAUUGCACUAAUGCACCAUAGUGUGACUGCAUUGUGUAUGUCUGCUGCCUUCUCUCUUGAAGGCCUGAUUCCACUUUCCACCCAUAGAGCCCACUACAAAAACAGUGAUCGCCCAGGGGUUGAAAGGUACAAUGGAUGACAUGAAGCAGCUAUUUCCAUCUCAAAGACAAAGAAGAAACUGGCAAAACAAGUCCCUCAUAUCCUUAAGAUUUUAAAUAAAAUUCCUUAUUUUUUUUAAAUUUUUGCA
rnacentral:lncRNA from 1 species